AUUGGGGGAAGCUUGGAAGGGGGGGUCUUUCAUGAUUGGCAUGUGAGAGGGAGAGAGAGAGCAGAUGGGGAGUAACAUCCAGCCAUUUCCAGCAGCACCAGGGGAAGAUGAAGUGGUGAUCUCGGUCAAGCAGAAAUAGCUUGAGAAAGGAGCAUCCAAGGCUUGGAGAUGAAGCACUUGCUGCCACGACCCACUCCAACUGGAAGGAAAUAACACACGUUUGGAGAGCUUCAUUAAUGGUUUGGAGAGAACACCGUCCAACGUUCCAGCAGCUUGGAGAAUAAUUCACGUUUGCAGCCGCCACCAUGGUGGGAGACUUUGGUCCUUCAAGCGUCCAACAACCUUGAACAUCCAACAUCUCCAAUCUUCCCAACGUAACUAUCAAGUAGAAAGGACAAUCAGCAACUGCACCGUCCUCCAUCAGCACUAGCCUUCAACCAUAGGAGCAGCCAACCCAUUAAGAAUUCACGGCUGGAAGAAAAAUCAAGUGGAGUCCUUAUAACAAAAAUCCGGGAGUGGAAGGGUAGAUCUUGAACUGUACGUCUGAGGUAGAUUAAUCCCAAAAUUUUAAGGAAGUCUUCAAGAGUGCUCUGAGGGGGUCGCGGAAGCUUUCCUCCAUCGAAUCAACCCGCAAUGGUGGAUGCGGGUUCAGUUCUGACCAUCACUCCUGACGCGUUGAUCUCUGGCGACAACAGCAAGGGCGAGUGAUUGCCUUAUCCGGCGAUGACAACGUCAACGACGAGUUGUGAUUGAGAAAUUCUUGACUCUACAAUUUAGGGUUCCUUUUGUUAUUUGAUUUUGGAGAUCAGGUUUUGCUGAAAGUGGGAAAUUAGGGAUUUUCUGAUGUAAUUGAAAUUACAAUGUUUGAAUUGGGAUCUUGAUUUCUGUUUU
rnacentral:sRNA from 1 species